AUGCCCGCCUCCGCCUCGCUCCUCCACCUCUACGACUGCUGGUCCGCCUACAAGUACGUCAACUUCUCCCGGACCAUCUACGAUGCCAUGGCGUACCUCAACGACACCAUCACCGUCAACAGCAACUACAUCUCCAUGCUCGCCGCGCUGAAGCGGUACGGCGACGACACGUCCGUCUGGGCGCCGCCGCAGACGGAGCGCGACGGGUACUGGCCUUCGCCCGCGGCGUCGGGGGCCGACGUGGACGCGCUCGGCGUGCCCAAGGGGCUCCCCGCGGACGCGACGGUGUGCGGCGCCGGGUGCGACUACAGGACAGUGCGGGAGGCGGUGGCGGCCGCGCCGGACAACGGGGGCAAGAGGUUCGUGGUGUACGUGAAGGCAGGCGUGUACAAGGAGACGGUGAGCGUGCCGUGGGAGAAGACCAACCUGGUGCUGGUCGGCGACGGCAUGGGGAAGACGGUCAUCACCGGCGACCUCAACGCGGACACGCCCGGCGUGUCCACGUUCAACACGGCCACCGUAGGCGUGCUCGCGGACGGCUUCAUGGCGCGCGACCUGACGAUCGCGAACACGGCGGGGCCGGACGCGCACCAGGCGGUGGCGUUCCGGUCCACGGGCGACCGCACGGUGCUGGACACGGUGGAGCUGCUGGGGCACCAGGACACGCUGUACGUGCACGCCAUGCGCCAGUUCUACACCCGCUGCCGCGUGGCCGGCACGGUGGACUUCGUCUUCGGCAACUCGGCCGCCGUGCUCCACGACAGCGACCUCGUCGUGCUGCCCCGGCAGCUGCGGCCGGAGAAGGGCGAGACGGACGCGCUGACGGCGCAGGGCCGCACCGACCCGGCGCAGCCCACGGGGAUCGUGCUCCGGGGCUGCCGCGUCAACGGCAGCGACGAGUACAUGGCCUUCUACCGGCAGAAGCCCGGCGUGCACCACGUGUUCCUCGGCCGGCCAUGGAAGGAGUACUCCCGCACGGUGUUCGUCGGGUGCACGAUGGCUGAGAUCGUGCGGCCCGAGGGGUGGAUGCCAUGGAGCGGCGACUUCGCGCUCAAGACGCUCUACUACGGGGAGUAUGAUAGCGCCGGCCCUGGCGCCGGCGGGCGGGGAGGCGGCAGGGUGGCGUGGAGCAGCCAGGUGCCCAAGGAGCGCGUCGACGUCUACAGCGUCGCCAGCUUCAUACAGGGGGACGAGUGGAUACCCAAAGUGAAGUAG
rnacentral:rRNA from 1 species